CAAAGCAAGCAUGACUCUGAUAACCAUCUUCAUCUGGACACUCUUGGGAAUCCAAGGGGCUUUUGGAGACGUCAUUCUUACUCAGUCUGGGUCUAAGUCAGUUCAGCUCGGUCAGACAGUCACCACUGACUGCAAAUCCAGCACUGAAGUUUACAGAAAUCCACAAGGUUCUGUAUCUAAAGAUUACUACAUCUCCUGGUAUCUUCAGAAAGCUGGAGAAGCUCCUAAACUCCUGAUGUAUUACACCGCAAUGAGACCUUCUGGAGUUUCCUCUAAAUUCUCGGGUGGAGGCAGUUAUUCAUCUGGAGGGAAUGGUCUGGAUUUCUCUCUGACCAUCAGUGGAGUCCAGGCUGAAGAUGCUGGAGAUUAUUAUUGUUUUUGUAGUCAUGAUAGUACUGGCACUUGGGUGUUCACACAGUGAAAAAGCGUCAUACAAAAACCUCUGAUGCACGUCUGCACCUGAAACUAAGUGCAUGUCUAAUAUUCUGUGAGGUUACUAAAUAUUCACACCAUAACAUUAUAACUGUAUUUCUUCCAGUGUUUUUUUAAAGAGGAAAAGGUGGGGUUUUUGUAUUCUUUAUCAUUUUCCAUCCAUUAUUAUUAU